AUGGAUUUUUGGGGGCGAUGCUUGGCCUGCUCACCAGUGUCACGCCUCAUCUCAUCUCUAAUUCUUCCUCCUUCUCACUCCUUUCCUCCCUCUUCCAUGCUGCCCCCAGCCCCAAGCUCAAGGGGAGGGGAAGUCUGCCUUACUCCCAGGCAGGACGCUGAAGCCUGCAACUGUAAAUUAGAAAGAACUCCAGAAAGAACUGAAUUGUUUUUGCUAAGAUACUCUUCCCCAUUAAGAGGCAAUCAAUUUACAACUGUGGUUUUAAUCCUUUUUAGAGUUUUGGAGGCCUUUGGGACAGAGGGAAGACUUUGGACUCCCACUCAGGAUAAAGCCACCACACCAGAGACAUCGUUGAGAGGAGACCCAGAGCCUGAGUUCUCCAAGGACAAACCCUGAGCAGAUAACAGUGGCUUCUUCUGGAGAGGGCUCUAGCACUGGGGGCCUCAGGGGAGGAUUUUCCUUGUUGCUCCCUGUAUUUUGGUAUGAUUUGACCUUUUCUGAUGAGAAUGUACCUAAAUAUUAAUUUUGUAUGAAAUAAAAGUUUUUCAAAGAAAGGCUCUGGUAUUCUG
ensembl:lncRNA